AACUUUUAACAAUGGAUCUCUUGGUUCUCGCAUCGAUGAAGAACGUAGCAAAGUGCGAUAACUAGUGUGAAUUGCAUAUUCAGUGAAUCAUCGAGUCUUUGAACGCAACUUGCACUCAUUGGUAUUCCAAUGAGUACGCCUGUUUCAGUA
rnacentral:rRNA from 6 species